rnacentral:rRNA from 1 species
CCUACGGGGGGCUGCAGUAGGGAAUAUUGCUCAAUGGGGGAAACCCUGAAGCAGCCACGCCGCGUGGAGGAUGAAGGUUUUCGGAUUGUAAACCCCUUUUGUUAGAGAAGAUAAUGACGGUAUCUAACGAAUAAGCAACGGCUAACUCCGUGCCAGCAGCCGCGGUAAUACGGAGGGUGCCAGCGUUACUCGGAAUCACUGGGCGUAAAGAGGGCGUAGGCGGGAUAUCAAGUCAGAUGUGAAAUUCUAUGGCUUAACCAUAGAACUGCAUUUGAAACUGUUAUUCUAGAGUAUGUGAGAGGUAGGUGGAAUUCUUGGUGUAGGGGUAAAAUGCGUAGAGAUCAAGAGGAAUACUCAUUGCGAAGGCGACCUGCUAGAACAUAACUGACGCUGAUGCGCGAAAGCGUGGGGAGCAAACAGGAUUAGAUACCCUAGUAGUC